GACGGGGGAGAAGCCCGUCCACCGAUUGACUAAGGGUUCGAGAGGAAGGCUGGUGCGCUCUGGGUUUGUCGUGUCCUAAGCUGAGGCCGCCAGGAGUAGGCGAUGGAUAACAGGUUGAAAGGCCUGUACCACCCACAAUCGUUUUAAGGGAUGGGGGGGCGCAGUAGAAUUGGUAAAGCGUGCUGUUGGAGUGAACGGCCAAGCAGUGAGACUGAGUGUUAGGCAAAUUCGACACUCGAAAAGUCAAGCUGUGAUGGGGAGAGGAAAUAGUUUCCUUGAGUCGUUGAUUUCACACUGCCGAGAAAAGCCCCUAGCUAGAAAGUUGGUGCCCGUACCGCAUACCGACACAGGGAGUCAAGAUGAGAAUUCUAAGGUGAGCGAGCGAACUCUCGUUAUGGAACUCGGCAAAAUGACCCCGUAACUUCGGGAGAAGGGGUGCUCUUUAGGGUUCACGCUCUGAAGAGCCGCAGUGAAUAGGCCCAAUCGCCUGUUUAUCAA
rnacentral:rRNA from 1 species